AUACAUAAUUUUUUUUUUCUGAUAUGCACAGCAAAUCCUUAAGAUAGGCAUUGUAAUUCUUAUUUUAGAGAUUUGGAAAAAACGAGCCUUUAGAGAGGAAGUAAUUUGGUCAAGAUCCUGAGUGUUUUUCCUUCCCUUAUACCAUUUGGCUUCCUUCAUCCUUAGUGUCUAAGAUGGUGCCUGGCAUAUAGUUGACAAAUAGGAAAAAUAUCCAGAGACUCAGGAAAGGACUGUGUUUGGCUACUAACUCCAAUCCUUCCCUAACUUAGAGUAGUGCCAGGGCCAGAGCCCUGUACCUCCCACUAUCCGGUCUGGCAUCAUAGAGCCAGACCCAUGGCCUCACCAUAGUUCAGCUGCCACUGAGAAUUUGGUCCUGCAUAUCACAUCCCCACCAAAGCUAGGCACCUCAUUCCAAACUUCAAGGGGACCCCUGUCCCACAUGAGUACAAGAAUGCAGUUAACAGGUUAUGCUGACCCAAGAAGGUGUGCAGUGAAGAUGCCUAGGUGAAAACCUGAGGCCCUGUGGUUAGGCAGAAUCCACAGUUGGCUGCUCUCCCUGGGUCUGGGGGGAAUUCAGUCAAGGCUAGAUUCUCCAAGUGAAGUCCCCAAGCUUGAACAGAUCUGCCAGCCUGGCUGUGGUACUUCCUACCCAAGCAGUAGUCAAGUAGUUUCAGUAGGCCAGACAUAGAAAGCAUGAAAAUGGGGUAGGACUAGAAUGGGGAAGAAAGGACUGUACUGUCAUUCAGUGUCCCCACCAGUCACGAGCCUGUCCCUGCAAGUGACAAUGCAGUCCUAGGGAGGAGAGGAAAGGGAAUGCUGAGAUAGGCAAUGGGAGCCCCUCCUAGAGGGCCUGGGAUCAGAUUUGGCCCUGUUUUCUACUUCUUCCUGAGGUGAGGCAAGGUAGAAACACAGGAAGAGCAAACAAAGGACAUGGAGCACCUGCUGUGUUCCUCAAUCAGUGAUGCUUUGUGCUGUGCAUACACUGUCUCUUACAGGCUUCCCAGCAGCCCUACAAGGUUGGUAUUAUUAAUACCCGUUUUACAGUUGCACUUGGAAAAGGUGAUUUGCCCACAGUCAUGUAGCCUAUAAGGUAAGAUUUGAGUUCCGGCCUGUGUGAGUCCAAAGCCACUACACAGAAAAUUCCCACCUGAUACCACCCUGACCCACAACCACUCUCUUGUCCCAGCUUCUACAGCUCUCAGGGGAGGACUUGGCUUUUUAGAACAGGCUUGGCUGAAAGAGCAGUAGUAAUAACCAAUCAGAUAUAGCUCCAAAGUUGCCCAUCUUACCAGGAUGAGUUUUCCAUCAAUUAGCUCCCGCACAAGUGUGGUCUCUUGCCCGUCCCAUUUCUGCAGGUGAACAAGUUUCCCUCCAUCCAGUGUCACAAUGGACUGUGGAAAGAGGGUAGAGGCCUGAGCUGUGAUCUUAGUCAGGAAUUGAGGGGCAGGGUGGGGUCUGGACACUGGGCCACAGAGCACACAGCCUUUGACCCAAACUAGUGAUGGUGUGAGGACAAGAGCUCAGGCAAUCCGCCUCCCAGCUAUCCCUGCAAGACAUCUAGUUCACCUCCAGCCUCUGCUCCACUACUGCCUUUCUGGGGAAGAGGCCUUCAGAUAUUAGGCAAGGAGGGAGAGGCAGGCAGUAUGGUGGAGCCAGAGAGCCUGGCUCUGAGAAGUACCACAAGCCUUCAAGACAGACACUUAUCUGUACUCUAGGUGAUUCCCGUAGCCUGGUCCCCUCAGAUACAGGUGGGAUUUACUAGUCUAUCCCUGGGAAAGACUGACUGAGGAGGAGGAGUAGUCCUGAGAAUCUUUAUCCAGCCUUGUGGUUAGUCCACAUAAUGUCUAAAAGACCCUUAGUGAUAGGAAGUAUUGGAUAAUUAGACUUCCUGCCCUGUAUUCCUACACCUUUUCUUGGUCCACAUCAUGUGACCUCUUUAGCCAACAAGAGGGCAGCAACCACAAAGUCCUGUGACUGGAUGCCCUUGAAGUGGUUCCUCAGCUCUGGGUGCUGCCAGCAUACAUACAUCAGCUGGUUCUCAUUUGGCAGCUCUUCCAGCUCUCUUUCCUAGGAGUUUGGGGGCCACAAGGCCAGGCUAAGGGAUCCUGAUGAGCAAGGUGGUUCAGUAGGAGAAUCUGAGAAGGUUCUGUGUAUUGUUUAGGUGAUAAGGGGUAUGAGGCCUGUCUCUUAGUGUGCUCUUUUUUAUCCUUACCUUACUCCUUGUUCUCAUUCCCCUAGUUUUUUUUGCCUACUCAGAGUAGAUAUUUUUGCCCUAGGCAUUCCACAGGGCUAUUGUGUUUAAUUGGGGUUCUUGCCCCUUGAGAAAGUAGGCAAGUCCAAGGAGGUAUGAGCAGGUGGUGGGGCAGCCACCUUUAUCCAAGGUAGACUGCCAUCUUUGGGCACCAUCCCCAGCUCUGCUGCCAGCCACCUGUGUGAUCCUGUUCUUUCUGGGGACAGCUAUGAGGAAGAGGAAACAGCUGAUGGGGCUGAAUGAUAGUGUCAUGAUAGAACACUGCUAUAGGGACACCCUAUAGAGGUCAAAGCCCUUAAGUUCUCUCGCUCCCAUGCCUGGCCUGGAAGGCUGAGGCAAGCUGCCAAGACAGCCACUGCAGGGUGAUAGAACCCUGGGAGGAGGGGCUAAGGCUUGGUGGGAAGACACUGCAAACACAUUCAUGACAAGGUGAAUGCCCUAUCACGGAACAUAGCUCUUCCUGCCUGUCAGCUGGCAACACUGGAAAUAGUUUGUCAGGGUCAUUGGCCAUGUCUGGGAGUUAGAAGUUGAAGCGGCAUCUGAGUAGGUGCUUCUAGUUCCUGGCUGCCUUUUUUGCUGCUGGAGGUCACAAUGACCUCACUCAGUGGAGGGCCCUGACUUCUGGGCAUCAUUCCUAAAGCACUUCAGGUCACAGCCAUGGCCACAUAACUCUGCCAUCUAUGGAAGGGGAAAGAAACCUAGAGCUACUGCAUACCUUGCACAGGGUCACCCAGCUGGAGCUGGAGUAGAUACUGAGGUCAGAAGAACAUCCUGGCUCUGUGCUGCCCAUUCCGAGGCAGACAAUAGAUGAAUCCCAAGAAGGGAGGGAAGAAAACAAGAGGACAGAACUGACAUGUAUUUAGCAUCAGUGGCAUUCCAGCACUACACAGGCUUUAUGAAUCUUGUUUCAUUUAAAUUCCCCAUGAUAGUCUGCCCCUCAGGGUGCAAUACCAGGGAGCCAAGACUACCAGCCUAUUCUCUUUUAGAGUCUCAGCACUCUCCAUUCCCCACCCCUGUUUCCCUGACUUACCUUGACCUUCCUGUCAUCUGCUGUUGUCUCAUCGAACUCCACCCCCAACUUAAAGCUGAUCUCUGUGUUCUUGAAGGUGCUGUGUGUUUUUAGGGUGAGAAUGUCCCCAUUCUUUUCGAUGAUUGUGGUAGGCUUGGUCAUGCUGGCCACCUGCCUGGUAGCAAAACCCACACCUGAGGGUAGGGGGAAGGUUAUGAGUAUAUGAGCUGGGGUAGAGAAGCAGUGUACAAGAAACUCAAUGAAUAACUCUCAGGCCUGGGUAUGGGGAAGUGGAGGACUGUAUCUUUCAAAGCCUUUGCAUGGGAAUUUUAAAAUUCAGUCUUGCGCUUAGUUCUGUUUGGUGAACACAGAUAACUGAUCCCAUUAGAUGAGAGAUACUUAAGGAACAGCAGUGCCAUAGCAAGUCAGUGGCAGAGCUGGGAUUAGAAUAAGCUACUAUUGGGCCAAGUGUGGUGGCUCACGCCUGUAAUCACACUUUGGGAGGCCAAGGCAGGCGGAUCACAUGAGGCCAGGAGUUUAAGACCAGCCUGGCCAAUAUGGUGAAACCCGUCUCUACUAAAAAUACAAAAAAUUAGCCAGAUGUGGUGGUAUGUGCCUGUAAUCCCAGCUACUCAGGAGGCUGAGGCUGAGAAUUGCUUGAACCUAGGAGGUGGAGGUUGCAGUGAGUCGAGAUUGUGCCACUGCACUCCAGCCUAGCCAACAGAGUGAGAUUCCACCUCAAAAAAAAAAAAAAAGCUACUAUUAAGUACUAUGAGCUUUUUGUGUAGUAAGAACUGUACAUGUUAUCUCAUUUAGUUCUUCCUGUUCUUCUGAAGACUGUUUCCACGUUACAGAUACAAAAACAGAGGUAAAGCCCAGGGUCACAAAUCUGAGAUUGAAGCCCAGAAUUGUCUGAGUCCAGAGCUUGCUUAAGUGCUCAGCUAUACUACCUCCCAAGGCUGGAGCAUAAGGCUGCCUUCCAGGGCACCUGAAAAGCUCUCAAAGCCUUAGGAAUAAGGCUGAGGAAAGAAGAGAAACAUAGACUUUCCCUUCCAAAGCCUUAGGCAUAGGAGUUUUCCAACUUUGGAAGUUUUUACCCUGAAACUAAGAAGUGUUAGUGCUCUUGUCCCUUAUACAUGGCAACCCAUCAUUUUCAAAGCCUGUUAUCUAUGAUCUAGGAGUUAGGUACAAAGGAAGUAUUUGUCCUAUUGUGCAGAUUCAGGAGGAGCCUAAAGCGGUAGCAACAAUGAGUUAGACUCAAACCCGUCUCCUGACUCCCAGUCUAAGGCUUUACAGAGACUCUCUUCCUGACCCAAGCAUGGCUUCCUUGGGUACUGGGCAAAGUCCUAAGUGUCCUGCAACCAAGUAAAGAACAAAGAACUAAUCAUGACUGCCCCCUCUCCCCCCAGCAGCUUAACAUUGAACUGUCUUCCAAGGCAAAGGUGAGGCAGGAGGCAGCCCAGUGUAGUGAGGUGGUGUGUGUAAAGUCUCCAAAUGUACCUGGCUACAUAGUGCUUGCUGGAAGCUAGGUACUCUGCACAUGCCCUACAUGGGUUGUUUUACUUAAUGCUUGUAACAGCCUCGAAGCGUAGAUUAUCCCCAGUUUACAAUGAAGAGUGCGAAGUGUCUUGUCGAAAUUCAAAGAGAAUAAACUACUGACAUAGAUUUGAACCUCGGCUCCAAAACUGUUGACUAUUUUCACUGGGCGAUUCUGUCCAGCACAUACUCAAUCCAGGCCAGCAGUUGUGCCUGUGGUCACUGGUACUAGACGGGACCUCUUUGCCCCU
rnacentral:lncRNA from 10 species